UUUCUAGGCACAAGAAGAACUUUCUACAAGGUUAGAGGGCGGCUAAAUGAAGUUGCACUUCUGGGGCCGAGGGGCGUGUUCUCCUGCUCCCGGCUGUAAUCCAACGCUCGUCCUGAUGAUGUCAAGCAGCUCCCGCUCGGCGGCUACCUUACAGCGGGGCGGGAGGCAUCGGUUUCCUCCUCGCGGAGAUCUCCGCUUAGCGUUGCCUUGUAACCUCAUCUCCCGGCAGCUGCGGCCGCCCCGACAUCCUGCCUGCGAUCUCGGGCGCUGGAGCUUUCGCUGCGAGACGCUCCCUUGGCGCCGGAGCGGCCCCGGCCCCGCGAGGCUCCACCUGUUACUGGUGCCUCGUGCGGGCAGCGCCCCGGGGGCUCUUGAGCUCUCUGCUUGGAUUCACCCCAGCUGCGCCUCGGCAUUCGGCUGUGCCGCGCAGCCUGGACGAGGGCACUCGCUCCUGACGCCGUGCGGUUUCACGGGGCUGCGUGCAAGUGCGUCAAGUUCUCUUCCCACGGACGGUGGCCUUAUCUGGGGGUGAAAUGUGGAGCUGGGGUCAGCACGGCCCCCAGGUUUAAGGGGGAAAGUCUAUGGGGCAAGACAGUGCUGUGUGUUGAGCAUGUAUGUGUGUCCAUGCUGCUGUGAUGCUCAGGCUGUUCCAGGGGCAGAGGAAUUCUUGGCUGCUCCUGCCCAUAUCAGAGGCCCCUCUGUGRUGUUGACCUCCUUAUAUCCUGUCCCCCUUGGAGGCAGCACUGGGUGACCAAGAGCAAAAGGACAAGCUGUCUGAGUGCCGCAUGCCAAGACUUUCACCCAGCACAGCGGAGAGGUGCACAGGUCUGUAGAUGUGAGGGACUAACAUCUGUGUGUGGCUUGCUCCUGAAAAGAUCCCUCAAUGCCAAUUGCCUUGCUGAGGGAUUGCAAGGACAGCUGGUCCCUGCUGCAAGGGCACAACAGGCCGCAAGCUUGUGAAGGACAGGAUAAGUGGGCUCGUCUCAACUGGGGAACAUGAAGGAUAUUUGCAGAGGACCUGGUUCAAUCUCUACUGGAGCCRUGGGAGCUUUCCCGUCUGCUGCAUGCAAAGUGAGCAGUGGUGAGGACUUGGCUCCUCCAACCUGCCAUCUUGCUGAGCAGAAGGCAGCUGUAAAACCAGCCUUCCUCUUGUCCUGCAGCUCCACGUGCCAGAUGGGCCUCGGAGUCGUUGUGCCCCAGGUUUGCCACCUGCCUGCGAGCCGACCAAGAGCAUCAUCUGGACCAGCUCCACUAGCGAGACACCCUGUUGGGGUGCCCCAAAACCUGAGCUGCUUGUUGUGAUGGGUGCACACACACCUCUUGACAACAUGUGCAGGAAGAGAGAAAAAAAAUACCAAGAGAAACCAUGCAGGAAACACCCUGAUGACUAUAGUGAGGCACUAAGGAAGGAGAAAAAGACCUUGAUAAAGCAAAAGGUGCUUGUACUCAGUGUAGCUGCUGAGCCCUAARCUGACCUGAUAGAGCCCUGCCUCUUGAUUCAAUUCUGUUUUGUUUCCAAACUGGCACCAGGAAGCCAGUUUGCUUUUCAGAGAUGUAUCGUUUGACAGAAACUAAUCUGAGUCAUACAUUAUUAAUUACCAGAACGUAACGGUAAUGACUUCACCACAGAGUGCCAAGUGUUGCCUGGCCUCACUAGGGAUGCAGCUGGUGUGGGAGGGCUCCAAUGCCAAGAUAUCAGCUCUCCAGACCAUUGCUUCAGGAGAUUGCUCYGCUGGUCCAGCAAAGACUCAAGGUUUCUUGUAUUUAUUCCAACUCAUAUUUGAAAGAAAUCCAGAGGAUGAAAGUUUUUACACUAGCACUUAGACUGCAGGGUCUGAAGGCCAAAUGUUGUCAUGUGCUUGCGAGGAUACAAGUGCCUACCACAAGAACAACCCCAUGAGGCAACACACGCAAUGAGUAGCAAUAACAACAACAAAGCUCUUCAGCAAUCUUGCAGCAUGAUAUACAACUUUGCAUUUUAAACAAGAUUUCUAUUAACUAUUUGCCAUACCUGAACCCCCUAAUCC